UUUGCCCCUUUGCUUCCUGCUGUGUACUUGAGCUGGGACAUCAGUCUUCUCCUGCCCUUGGACUGGGAUUUACACCCUCAGCCUCUGGUUCUCAGGCCUUCAGACUUGGACUGGAAUUAUACUCUUGGUCUCCUCUCCAGUUUGCAGACAGCAGAUCAUGGGACUUGAUCUGCUCAGCCUCAAUAAUCACGAAGUAAUCUCCAGGCUGGAUGACCAUUGAAUCACCUGGGAGCAUCUUGAAAAGAAGAGAUUCAUGGGCCUCCCGCUGGAUCCACCGAACCAGAACCUCCUGAGAAAAAAGGAAUAAAGCAAGUCCAUGUCAGCUGGAGAGAAAAUAUUCCUAUACAACCAAAGCUAGGAGAGGAACAGUGUGGAGCUGAUUUUGAUUUAAAGAAAAUGUUCAUGGUUAAAUGAAGAAAACAGUGAAAAAAAGACUAAUGGAAACUGCAAGAGGCUGGAAGGUGUUAAUACCUAUCCUUACCCAUCAUUAUGGUCACGGCCAAUGCUCCCAUAACAAAAGACAGUUUCAGGUAUGUCUUUAUCAGCAGUGUGAAAACAAACUAAUACAAUACAUUGGUACCAGGAGUGGGGUGUUGCUGAAAAGAUACCUGAAAAUGUGGAAAUGACUUUGGAGCACAGGUUGGAACAGUUUGGAAGGCUCAGAAGAAGACAAGAACAUUUGGGAAAGUUUGGAACCUCCUAGGGACUCGUUGAAUGGCUUUGACAAAAAUGCUAAUAGUGAUAUGAAUAAUAAAGUCCAGGUGGAGAUGGCCUCAGAUGGAGAUGAGAAACUUGUUGGGAACUGGAGCAAAGGUGACUCUUGUUACAUUUUAGCAAAAAGACUGGUCGCAUUUUGCCCCUAACCUAGAGAUUUGUGGAACUUUGAACUUGAGAGAGAUGAUUUAGGGUAUCUGGCAAAAGAAAUUUCUAAGCAGCAAAGCAUUCAAAAGAUUACUUGGGUGCUGUUAAUAGCAUUCUGUUUUAAAAGGGAAAGAGAGCAUAGAAGUUCAGAAAAUUUGCAGCCUGAUGAUGCAGUAGAAAAGAAAAACCCAGUUUUUUGAGGAAAAAUUCAAGCUGGCUGCAGAAAUUUGCAUAAGUAGCAAAAAGCCUAAUGUUAAUCCCGAAGGCCAUGGGGAAAAUGUCUUCAGGGCAUGUCAGAGAUCUUUAUGGCAGCACCUCCCAUCACAGGCCUGGAGGCCCAGGAGGAAAAAGUGGUUUCAUGGGCCAGGCCCAGGCUCCUCAUGCUGUGUGCAACCUAGGGACUUAGUGCCCCAUGUCCCAGCUGCUCCAGCUGUGGCUGAAAGGAGUCAAUAUAGAGCUUGGGCUGUGGUUUCAGAGGGUGGAGGCCCCAAGCCUUGGCAGCUUCCACAUGGUGUCAAGCCUGUGGGUGCAGAGAAGUCAAGACUUGAGGUUUGGGAAUCUCCAUCUAGAUUUCAAAAGAUGUCUGGAAAUACCUGGAUGCCCAGGCAGAAGUUUGCUGCAGGGGCGGGGCCCUCAUGGAGAACCUCUGCUAGGGCAGUGCAGAAGGAAAAUGUGGGUUUGGAGCCCCACACAGAGUCCCUACUGUGGCACUGCCCAGUGGAGCUGUGAGAAGAGGGCUACCUUCCUCCAGACCCCAGAAUGGUAGAUCCACUGACAGCUUGCACCGUGCACCUGGAAAAGCUACAGACACUCAACACCAGCCUGUGAAAGGAGCCAGGAGGGAGGCUGUACCCUGCAAAGCCACAGGGGUGGAGCUGUCCAAGACCAUGGGAACCCACCUCUUGCAUCAGCAUGACCUGGAUGUGAAAGCUGGAGUCAAAGGAGGUCAUUUUGGAGCUUUAAAAUUUCACUACCCCACUGGAUUUUGGACUUCCAUGAGCCCUAUAAUCCCUUUGUUUUGGUCAAUUUCUCCCAUUUGGAAUGGCUGUAUUUACCCAAUACCUGUAUGCCCAUUGUGACUAGGAAGUAACUAGCUUGCUUUUGAUUUUACAGGCUCAUAGGCGGAAGGGACUUGCCUUGUCUCAGAUGAGAAUUUAGACUGUGGACUUUUGGGUUAAUGCUGAAAUGAGUUAAGACUUUGGGGGACUUUUGGGAAGGCAUGAUUGGUUUUGAAAUAUGAGAACAUGAGAUUUGGAGGAGUCAGGGGUGGAAUGAUAUGGUUUGGCUGUCUACCCACCCAAAUCUCAACUUCAAUUGUAUCUUCCAGAAUUCCCACAUGUUGUGGGAGGGACCUAGCAGGAGGUAAUUGAAUCAUGGGGGCCAACCUUUUCUGUGCUAUUCUCAUGAUAGUGAAUAAGUCUCAUGAGAUCUGAUGGGUUUAUCAGGUAUUUUUGCUUUCACUUCCUCCUCAUUUUUCUCUUGCCACUGCCAUGUAAGAAGUGUCAUUCACCUGCUGCCAUGAUUCUGAAGCCUCCCCAGCCAUGAGGAACUGUAAGUCAAAUUAAACCUCUUUUUAUUCCCAGUUUGGGUAGGUGUUUAUCAGCAGCAUGAAAACAAAUUAAUACAGGUAGGAUUUAAUGGUAAGAGAGUUUGGGGGGAAACCUAGCAAGGCCUAUCCAGAUUCUUCUUGGCCUCUCUGUGUAGCACUUUUCCUUCCCUGGUAUAGGGCAGGACCCCUUAGGAAUGAGAGUCUUAUGGCCAACUGUCAGUCAAAGUAGGUCAGAGAACUUCUUUAAGGACAGCUCCUACACAGAAAGGCAGGAGAAGGUUAGGGUGACUUUGCUUCUGAGGUUGCUUCGGCAGCCUUCCAACCUCCUUCAGUUCAAAGUACUCAGCAUGCCAAAGUGCCAUACUUUGGAGCGUGAUUUUUCAGAACUGCAACAAAACUAUUACUGAAUAGUGGGAGGAUAAAAUUAAAAUCCUUGAAUUUCAUGAAUAGUGAAUUUUAAGAAAUAUUUUUUGAAAGCCACACAUGAAAAACUCUCAGAAAUUUAACUUUUUUUUCAGAAAAUGUUUGAUUAGCAUCAUCUCCAUCUGACCACUUCUGCCAUUUCCAAGAUUUCUAGGCUGACAUAUGCUCCAUUCCUUUUCUCUACAUAAACUCCCUAUGUGUCCCCACUCCUUGCUCCACUCACUGGAAACCUGACUUGUGGUUCAGCUGCUGACAAAUUCUGGAUGAAUACAAGAAGCUCACUUCUUUGCCACUAAAAUAAAACACAUGAAACACAUGAAAGGGAAUCAUUUCAUGUGUAAAAGACUAAAGGACUUUCUCUUUUUUUUUGAGACAGGGUCUCACUGUCAUCCAGGCUGGAGUACAGCAGUGCAGUCAUAGCUCAUUGCAGCCUCGAAGUCCUGGGCUCACAUAGUCCUCCUGCUUUAGCCUCCCAAGUAGCUUGGAACUACAGGUCUGAGCGACUGCUGUGGGCUGAGGAACUCUUUUUUUUUUUUUUAUACUUUAAGUUCUAGGGUACAUGUGCACAAUGUGCAGGUUUGAUACAUAGGCAUACAUGUGCCAUGUUGGUUUGCUGCAGCCAUCAACUUGUCAUUUACAUUAGGUAUUUCUCCUAAUGCUAUCCCUCCCCCAGCCCCUCACCCCCUGACAGGCCCCAGUGAGUGAUGUUCCCUGCCCUGUGUCCAAGUGAUCUCAUUGUUCAAUUCCCACCUAUGGGUGAGAACAUGCAGUGUUUGGUUUUCUGUCCUUGUGAUAGUUUGCCGGGAAUGAUGGUUUCCAGCUUCAUUUAUGUCCCUGCAAAGGACAUGAACUCAUCCUUUCUUAUGACUGCAUAGUAUUCCAUGGUAUAUAUGUGCCACAUUUUCUUAAUCCAGUCUAUCAUUGAUGGACUUUUGGGUUGGUUCCAAGUCUUUGCUAUUGUGAAUAGUGCUGCAAUAAAUAUACGUGUGCAUGUGUCUUUACAGUAGCAUGAUUUAUAAUCCUUUGGGUAUAUACCCAGUAAUGGGAUGGCUGGGUCAAGUGGUAUUUCUAGUUCUAGAUCCUUGAGGGAUCGCCACACUGUCUUCCACAAUGGUUGAACUAGUUUACAGUCCCACCAACAGUGUAAAAGUGUUCCUAUUUCUCCACAUCCUCUCCAGCAUCUAUUGUUUCCUGACUUUUUAAAGAUUGCCAUUCUAACUGGUGUGAGAUGGUAUCUCAUUGUGGUUUUGAUUUGCAUUUCUCUGGUGGCCAGUGAUGAUGAGCAUUUUUUCAUGUGUCUGUUGGCUGCAUAAUUGUCUUCUUUUGAGAAGUGUCCGUUCAUAUCCUUUGCCUGCUUUUUGAUGGGGUUGUUUGUUUUUUUCUUCUAAACUUGUUUGAGUUAUUUAUAGAUUCUGGAUAUUAGCCCUUUGUCAGGUGGGUAGAUUGCAAAAAUUUUCUCCCAUUCUGUAGGUUGCCUGUUCACUCUGAUGGUAGUUUCUUUUGCUGUGCGGAAGCUCUUUAGUUUAAUUAGACCCCAUUUGUCUAUUUUGGCUUUUCUUGCCAUUGCUUUUAGUGUUUUAGUCAUGAAGUCCUUGCCCAUGCCUAUGUCCUGAAUGGUAUUGCCUAGGUUUUCUUCUAGUGUUUUUAUGGUUUUAGGUCUAACAUUUGAGUCUUUAAUCCAUCUUGAAUUAAUUUUUGUAUAAGGUGUAAGGAAGGGAUCCAGUUUCAACUUUCUACAUAUGGUUAGCCGGUUUUCCCAGCACCAUUAAUUAAAUAGGGAAUCCUUUCCCCAUUUCUUGUUU
rnacentral:lncRNA from 1 species